rnacentral:rRNA from 1 species
GUGGGGAAUUUUGCGCAAUGGGGGAAACCCUGACGCAGCAACGCCGCGUGAGUGAUGAAGGCCUUCGGGUCGUAAAGCUCUGUCAGAGGGAAAGAAAUGCGGGAGGGUUAAUACCCCUUUUGCUUGACGGUACCCUCAAAGGAAGCACCGGCUAACUCCGUGCCAGCAGCCGCGGUAAUACGGAGGGUGCGAGCGUUGUUCGGAAUUAUUGGGCGUAAAGCGCGUGUAGGCGGUCUUUUAAGUCUGAUGUGAAAGCACCGGGCUCAACCUGGGAAGUGCAUUGGAAACUGGGAGACUUGAAUACGGGAGAGGGUAGUGGAAUUCCUAGUGUAGGAGUGAAAUCCGUAGAUAUUAGGAGGAACACCGGUGGCGAAGGCGGCUACCUGGACCGAUAUUGACGCUGAGACGCGAAAGCGUGGGGAGCAAACAGGAUUAGAAACCCGGGUAGUCC